rfam:Dipodomys ordii contig_59157, whole genome shotgun sequence.
CCAUAAGCCUUUUUUAAGGCCAUAACUAUAUUCAAGUAUAUUUUAU